AGCAAUCAAUCAAUAGAAAUGAAUGUUUUAUAUACUUGAAAAAUGGCGAAAUUCGACCAUGUGGUUGGGAUUCAGAUAUAGAAUUUGUUUUAAGAUUUAUCCCACGUGCAAGCGACACGACGCUGUGCAUGCGAUACUGCGAGCGACAGAAAAAUCGAUAAGUAUAAUUUCGAUGCGUCCCAUGUGUGUAUUUGAGCGUCGCGUAGAAUUGACUGCUGUCACUUCUUGUACAAACUAGUUUGUUUUCUGAAGCGACAGAGAGAAAUUAUCGCGACUACAGAGUUCGAUUGAUCGGUUUCAAUAAAGGAAAUUAAAAGAAAGCCUGUAUUAUAGAAUAUAAGAGAUGAAAAUUACCAUAAUCGGCAUUUAGUAGAUAAAUAAUUAGACGACAUUGUCACUUAUACCGUAUCAUAACGAAACAUCGCGUUUGUAGUAUCGCAUAGUUUAGAGUCGCAUCGCUUGCACAUGAAACACGGCCUUAGAAGUGCAAAAAAGAAAACACAGCCUUAGAAGUGCAAAAAAGACCAUUUCUAUAGGACGUGAGAUUAAAAGAAUACCGAAAAUAUACGAUCACUUCUAAUAGCAAAUCGAUCACACGCCAAACGGCUGCUAUUGACAAAUCCAUGAAACAUGAGAAAUAACUCAGCUACAAUGUAG
rnacentral:lncRNA from 1 species